rfam:Beta vulgaris subsp. vulgaris contig93612.1, whole genome shotgun sequence.
GGGUGCGAUCAUACCAUCAGAACUCUGCAUCUAACCGUGCUAGGGCAAUAGUAGUACUAGGAUGGGUGACCUCCUAGGAAGUCCUCGUGUUGCACCCC